AUUGAACGCUGGCGGCAUGCUUUACACAUGCAAGUCGAACGGUAACAGGCCGCAAGGUGCUGACGAGUGGCGAACGGGUGAGUAAUGCAUCGGAACGUGCCCAGUCGUGGGGGAUAACUACUCGAAAGAGUAGCUAAUACCGCAUACGAUCUAUGGAUGAAAGCGGGGGACCGUAAGGCCUCGCGCGAUUGGAGCGGCCGAUGUCAGAUUAGGUAGUUGGUGGUGUAAAGGCUCACCAAGCCAACGAUCUGUAGCUGGUCUGAGAGGACGACCAGCCACACUGGGACUGAGACACGGCCCAGACUCCUACGGGAGGCAGCAGUGGGGAAUUUUGGACAAUGGGCGCAAGCCUGAUCCAGCAAUGCCGCGUGCAGGAAGAAGGCCUUCGGGUUGUAAACUGCUUUUGUACGGAACGAAACGGCUCUGGUUAAUACCCGGGGCUAAUGACGGUACCGUAAGAAUAAGCACCGGCUAACUACGUG
rnacentral:rRNA from 1 species